rnacentral:rRNA from 1 species
UGGGGAAUAUUGGACAAUGGGCGCAAGCCUGAUCCAGCCAUGCCGCGUGAGUGAUGAAGGCCCUAGGGUUGUAAAGCUCUUUCGGCGGGGACGAUAGUGACGGUACCCGCAGAAGAAGCCCCGGCUAACUUCGUGCCAGCAGCCGCGGUAAUACGAAGGGGGCUAGCGUUGUUCGGAAUCACUGGGCGUAAAGCGUAUGUAGGCGGAUCGUUAAGUCGGGGGUGAAAUCCCGAGGCUCAACCUCGGAACUGCCUUCGAUACUGGCGACCUUCGAGUCCGGGAGAGGUGAGUGGAACUCCGAGUGUAGAGGUGAAAUUCGUAGAUAUUCGGAAGAACACCAGUGGCGAAGGCGGCUCACUGGCCCGGUACUGACGCUGAUAUACGAAAGCGUGGGGAGCAAAC